rnacentral:lncRNA from 1 species
CCUUGAAGAAUGCUUAGCUCUCGCACUUUUCUUCUAGGCAUUUUAUCUGCAAAACAAAUAAAAUAGUUGAAAACUUAGUAUACAAUUACAACAAUAAUAGCACAUAUAAAAUAGUUUAAAUAUAUAAUAAGACCAAUAAUUAUAUUAUGAUAUAUGUAUGUUGUGUAUAAUGUAAUUAAGUUAUGUAAGUUGUGUAUUAUUAAAGUUAAGUAUUAUGUAAGUUAUUUAAGUUAUGUAAGUGGUGUAUUAUGUAAGUUAAGUAAGUUAUGUAGGCUAUGUAUUAUGCAAGUUAUUUAUGUAAGUGGUGUAUUGUGUAAGUUAUAUAAGUUAUGUAGGCUAUGUGUUAUCUAAGUUUUUAAGUUAUAUAAGUUAUGCAAGUUUCUAUAUAAGUUUCUAUGUAAGUUAUGUAGGUUAUUAUUUAAGUUAUGUAUUAUGUAAGAAUAAAUAAAAAAAUUUAUUUAAGUUAUGUAUUAUGUAAGUGUAUAUAUAAGUUAUGAUAUGAUUUAUAAGUUAUGUAUAAUGUAAGUUAUGAAAGUUAUGUAUUAUGUAAGUUAUGUAAGUUGUGUAUUAUGCAAGUCAUGUAGGCUAUGUAUUAUGUAAGUUAUUAUGUUAUUAUGUAAGUUAUGAAAGUUAUAUAUAAGUUAUUAAAAAUGUAUUAUGUAAUUUAUGUAAGUUGUGUAUUAUGCAAGUCAUGUAGGCUAUGUAUUAUGUAAGUUAUGAAAGUUUUAUAUAAGUGAUUAAAAAUGUAUUAUGUAAGUUAUGUAAGUUGUGUAUUAUGCAAGUCAUGUAGGCUAUGUAUUAUGUAAGUUAUUAUGUUAUUAUGUAAGUUAUGAAAGUUAUAUAUAAGUUAUUAAAAUAUAUAUAUAAAUUUUUAAUAUAUAUAUUAAAAAUGUAUAUAAAUAUUAAUAAGUUAUUAAGUUAUAUAUUAAAAAUUUAUAAGUUAUAUAUGGAAACAUAUGAAUAAAUACCUCAAAUUUCCUCAAUUUCGAAGCAGACGGCUGCCAAACAAAAAACACAACUAAAUUAGUACAAAAAAACAGAAAAAAAUUUGGAGUAAACAGAAUAUAAUUUUAAUAAAAAAAAUAGGAGUAAACACAACUAACAUGUAAAGCCCGAUAAUAAAAUUGAACCGACUGUUUUCUAAUAAUUUAAAUAUUAAUUGAACCGACUGUUUUCUAAUACUGUUUUCUACGUAACAAUAUUAAUUUGUCAGUGCAGUUUGAAAGAAUUCCAGGGUUGUAAACAGUUAGUUGUUCCAUAAAAUCUUUUCAUUUGUAAAUCUUAAUUGGAAUUAAAAAGAUUUAAUUUCUCAAUUGGUGAAAUAAAAUAGUUCGAUAAAAAAAAAACCUGAAUUAAAAGAAUGAGGCACAAAUUUAUAAAAACUUUAGAAUUUCAUAGGUGUACUUGGGCUUUUGACCCAUUUGAACAAUUUUUAAGGUAGAAUAAUUUAAGAAGAAGCUAGCCCUCAUCAGUAGUGUAAUAGUCUUUCAUUCUCCCUUGUAUUUUCUUGAAUUAUCUGAAAAAGUAAAUACUCAAAAUUUUGCUAAAUCACUUGAAAAACAAACCUCUUAAACUCAUUUACACCAUCAAUCUUUUAAAUGUUAACCUAUCAUUUCAUGAGUUUUAGUGGGUUUUAGUAUGAGAAAACAAAGCUAGAAAGAAAAUGUUUCAAUAAUGUUUAAAAAAAAAAAAAAACUUUUUUAACAUGAUAUUUUAGUUUAAUGGUUAUGAGAAAGUUUGAAAAGAUUUGCUACUUUAUGCCUUUAGCGUCAAGGUUUAAAUUUCGUCUUAUGAAAAUUAUAUGUGAGCUAGUUAGUUAAUUCGACUUAAUUUAGUGCUUAUAAUAAAUUAUUUUAAUUAAAUUUAUUAUACAAAUAAUUAAUUCUAACUUAAAAAAUAUUAAAUUAAAUGUGGAAUAAUUUUUACAUAAAAAAGGUUUCAUGGAAGAAGAUAAGCCUCUAUGAUUAAAUGGUUAAUUGGAUAUAAACUAGAAUGGAAUUUGAAAAAACAAAGUAUUUUGCAUCUAAGGCAUUGUUGGAGUGCCAACUUAACUCACAUUUUGAUCCAAUGAUUACUUCACAUUUCAAUUCAUUAUGAACUUAAAAUACCAAUUUCAAUAUUUCCUCACAAAAAAAACUAAACAUUCGGUGCCUAUAAUCAAAACUUAAAAAGUUUCUCUAACAUGAUUUAUUGAUUCAUUUGCCACCUCAAAAGCCCUUAAUUUUUGUGCACAAAAAGCUUUUAACUAAUUUAGUUUCAUUAAAGGCAAAUGGCAAUGGCACCCCCCCCCCCCAAAUGGUGCAAUCAUUUUCAAAGUCUAAAGAAAUGAUAAUGGUGGAUAUCCCCCACCCACCACCAUUCCUACCAUUUUUCUCUUCAAUUAGAGAGAAAAAAAGGGUCCAAUUAACUUCGCUUUUGAGCUUGUUCAAAGGUGAAAGAUUUAUAAAGCAAUAUAUAUAUAUAUAUAUAUAAAACCAUUAAAUUACAUGUCUUUAGUCACCCCUUCAUUAACAACAACAAGCUUUAAUACCAAGAUAUGCUAGAUACCCAAAGUUGGCCAGUCCCAGUUAUAUAUAUAUGCUCAUAUAGACCAUAUAAAAGGGUUUCAAAGUUUGCUGGGAUUUUUUUAGUUGUCUUCGGAUUCUAAUAAUGUCCCUUUAGCCAUCUUCUUUGAUCAUAAAGUUCAACUCGGUACAGCCAUAUAGGUCCUUUCUCUUAUGCUUUUAUCAAUGUUGAGACUAAAAUCAAGCUUUUCUUAUUACAUUUUUUUCUUAUCUUUCUAAGAUCAGCCGACCUACAAUAUUCCAACUCAUUUGUGUUUCCAACAUGUUCCUGCUUGGCAAAAAAACAUAAAUUUUCCUUUUCCUAGUACCAAACUUAACUCGGUUAUGGUCCAAUACGCCAUCUACACACCUCUAGUGUAUAUCUGCAGAACAUAAAGAACUGAGUGCCUAGACUAAAAAAGGUUCAAAGUUUCCCUAAAAAAGGUUCAAAGUUGCCCUAAAAUAAACUUACAGCAAGCAGCAAACAGUAUGCAUAUGGCAAAUACAUUCAAUCAGCAUGCCAGUACCAACCACAUUCAUUUUUAAACCCGCAAAUAUCAAUGCGUUUCAAAAUUAAAUUUCAUAUUUAAACAGUCCAAAACAAAUGCCCGACUAGAAACUAACCGAUGACGACGGCCGUAGUAGUCCGACGGUGACGGAGAUGCUCGAGCUUCUAAUGUUUGCGUAGCAGGUGGUCGGCCCGGACAAAGACAACAGCGAUUUUUCAGAUGGCGCAAAUUGAAUGGGUUUGGGGUUAGGGAUUUACUGAAUUAAUC